UGCUCAGGAGAACUCCCAGAAGGAGCUGCUCUGGUGUAGCUACAGAAGGCUCCUGUGUCUGGGUCACAGCUUUCACACUUUUUUGCAUCAGUUUACCUGACGCCAAGUUAGUGAGAUUGCUGCCAGUGAAGGCUGUGAGUCUUCCCAUAAGCUCACAUAUUGUUGCAAAGCACAGAGAGAGUAGAGGGCUUCCCUCUGUUAGGCCUAGGUCGGGGUCUCCAAGCAUCUCUUCUCCCAAGCCCCUCACGUGGGUUCUCCAUCCCUGGCCAACCUGGGAUUGAACCCAGGAUCUGCUGACAGGAGUGAAUAUUCCUGAGCCCACCAAAGAUGAGGCAUAGAAUGUAUAGAACAGAGCUUGGGAUGUGUUGGAAGCAGGAGAGACAGAUCCCUCCUUUUCAAAGCACUUUAACUGCUCUUCCUGCACUGAAGACACUAUGGACAGACAGCCUAGAGUCUGGAGGACAGCCAGGGAGAUGCCAGCCUAAUUUCUGAUGACAGAACAAUGGAGAGGAACAAGAGUGGAUAGCUUGCCUAGAGUCUACUCAGAGCCAAUGGUACCAUGAGACAGGUGGGUAGGAAGAUAUCUUCAAGUGAUGGGUAAAAAGCCAGACAGACAAAUGUAAGUAACUUAUCUAAGCUCAUGUGAUGGAAGCGUGUGCCCUUGGAAGGAUCCUCAACAUAUUUUAUUGUGAUGUUGAAAGAAGGUAUGGGGCACAGGCCUAACAAACUCUGUACAGACCCUCACUGGUCUAGUUCUGCCGUUGUUUUUUUUGUUGUUGUUGUUUUUGUUUGUUUGUUUGUUUGUUUUUGUCAGGGUCUAGCUGGAGAUAGCCAUGAACUUUCUGAUUUUUCUGUCUCUGUCUUCCUAGUACUGCGAUUAGAGGCAUGCACCACAAUUCCCCCGGUUUUUGUUUUUGCAUUGUCUGUCUUUCAUGGGGUGCUGUGGGUUGAACCCAGGGAUCUAUGCAUGCUGGGAAAUCCUUCUGCCAACUGAGCCACGGGUAACUCCUUUGCUCCUAAUUCACUCUGCUGCGGUGAGUUCCCUUGGAGCCCGGGAAUGCGCUCCAAUGAAUGAUAGACAAAAGUCUUUGUGACAAUGUAUCAGAUUAUCACCCCCCAGGCAACAGCAAGCCUCACCGAACAGAUCUACCCAUGAUGAAGUUACACCCAAAGGAUGGACCAGACACUGCUCCCUCCCUAAAGCAGGGUCAGGACUGCCACCCAGGCCACCGCCCUUGGCUGCUGGGAGAGGACAGAGUGGCACACACACACUGGAGAACCAAGCUGCACGAUUCAGCCUGCGUCUGUGGCAGCAAUGCAAUUAUCUCUGAGACCUGAGCACUGGUGGCUGGUGGGAGCUCCGACCAUCAAUGUCUCCUCACCCUCCCUCCCAGCCAGAAGAGAACAAGUACCUUAGGAAGGUGAUAUUUUUCCCUCAUGAAAACCAGCGGUUCCCCUGACCUACCUGGCUCCUCCAUCAGACAGGGCUCACACUUCCCGAAGGAUACCUGGGCUCAGGGAAUCUAGAGUUCCUCAUCCUCGUUCAGUUCUCCAGCCUGGAGAUGGGAACUGCUCCCAGAUGAUGCUGACUUGGGAUGGCCUCUCAUCCUCUCUUCAUGUCUCAGACUUUGCAUCAUCUACAGAAGCAAUCCCCAGAAUAACUACCCCAGAACAACUACCCCUUUUAUUUUCACUACUCAAUGUAGAUUAGGACUAAGCUGCAAAUUCCCAGAUAACCCAGACUCCAAGGGCAGGCUCUGAAGAAGGGCUCACAUUGGCUCUGGUGAUCUGAGAUGGCCACCUGGUAAGGUCAUGUUACACAGAGGGUCCUGAGCGGGUCAAUUCCCACUUCCCACGUGUGUUGGUAAAUUGCCAUUGUCAACUGUAAUGAAUUGCAAAUCACCUAAUAGAGAUGAUUAGGCAUACUUCUGGGUCUGUCUCUGGGAUGGUUCCAGAAAGAGUUAAGCUGGGUAGAAUGCCAUCUCUGAAUAUGGCUGAUGUCAUUUCCAUGGUCUAUCCUACUGCCAGAGGAUUUUUUUUUUUUUUUAAAAAAGGGGAGGAAGAGAUGAUAGGCAUUCCUUUGUUGGCUUCCUGAUCUGCUGAAAUACAUAUAUACCACCACUCAUAUGGUGGUUUGAAAGAAAAUGGCCCCCAAAGAUAGUGGUACUAGUGGGAGGUGUGGCCUUGUUGAAGUAGGUAUGGC